AAGGUUGUGGCUCAGUGAUAGAGCGCUUGCCUAGCAUGCGUGAGGAACUGGGUUCGAUUCCCAGCACCAUGU
rnacentral:tRNA from 1 species